UACGUAGGGGGCGAGCGUUGUCCGGAAUCAUUGGGCGUAAAGCGCGCGUAGGCGGCCCGGUAAGUCCGCUGUAAAAGUCCAGGGCUCAACCCUGGAAAGCCGGUGGAUACUGUCGGGCUCGAGUCCGGAAGAGGCGAGUGGAAUUCCUGGUGUAGCGGUGAAAUGCGCAGAUAUCAGGAGGAACACCAAUGGCGAAGGCAGCUCGCUGGGACGUGACUGACGCUGAGACGCGAAAGCGUGGGGAGCAAACAGG
rnacentral:rRNA from 1 species